UCUUUUCUUUAUAAAUUAGUCAGUCUUAGGCAUUUCUUUAUAGUAAUGCGAGAAUGGACUAAUACAGUGUCCCUAACACAGACAUCUUCUGGGGUUUCAUCUGAAAUCUCUCCUGCAGGAGUCCAGGGAACACAGAAGCCAGGCAAUUUCCAUGCCAAGGAUUCUGCGACCAGAGCUUAUACUUCGUGGUCAACAUGUAUAAGCUUGGGGAGAGAGUGGAGUGAUGCAGUAGCAGAGCUGCACAUGAGACAGGCAGAAGGAUCAGCAAGUAUCAACUCGGGGACCUGCUAGCCAAACGUGGCACAGUCGAGCACUCUCUAUUUGUUCCUUCACUUUCCAGUUCUGUGGAGCUGUCUUGCCAAUAAAUAAAAGGAGGAAGAUUAAAGGAGAGAAGAUUUAAAGAGUGUGUGAAGAGCAAUUCAAAGUCUAGCACUGUUUCUGGAAAACAAUUUCAAGUUCAAGCCCAGUGAGGCCACUGCCAUGCACAGAAGACAGACAGCACCAUCAGACUGGUGAGAUUCCUUCUUUGACUUGGGGUCUGCCCUACUGAGCAACUACCCACUGUCCAUCUCUCUGCUGAACUCCAAGCUCAUCUGUCUGACUGUCUAAUUGGACGUCUCGUAGCUUCACAUAUCCAAAGCCGAACUUCUGAUCCCCUGCUCCACUUGCUCUGUCCUUUAGUUGUUAAGGCCCCAAACCGUGAGUUCAUCCUUGACUUCUCUCUUUCUCUUACACCCCUUAGGUAUUUCCUAAUCAAUCAGGAAAUACCUUUGUCCCUUCUCUUCAAAAUGGAUCUCAUUUUCAGUACACUAUAAUCAUUUCUCAUCACCUCUUGCUUGGGUUAUUAAAAUAGCUUUCCCAUUUGAUUUCCCUGCUUCCAAAAACUUGCUUUCUUAGUGUCUAUUUCCAAUACAGCAUCAGAGGGAUUAUUUAAACACCUAAGUCACAUCACAUCAUUCCUUUGCUCAAAACCCUCCAAUGGCUCCCCAACAAGGCCUUGUGUAAUGGGGCUCCCUGCACUUUUCUGGCCUCACCUUCCGUUGCUCUCUCCCCCUCAGUUAUUCUGCUCCAGCACACUGGCCUCCUCUUUAUUCACUAAACACCCAGACCUGCUCCAACCUCAGGGCCUUUGCCCUGGUGGUUCUCCCUGUCUGGAGUACCCUUCUCCCAAAUACCCACAUGGCCUGCUCCCUUAGUCCCUUACAAGUCUGUACUCAAUUGGCACCAUCCUAAUUAGAGACAGCUACUCUAACCAACCUAUUUAAAACUGCACUCUAUUUCCCUUAUCUUGCUUUGUGUCUCCACUGCAUGUAUCUCCUCUUAACUUGCUGUCAUCUUAUUCACCAUGUGUAUUGUCUUUUUUCUCCCUACUAAAAUAUAAUCACUGUAGGGGUAAGAAAUAUGUCUGUUCUCUUCACUGCUGAAUUGCCAACACAUAGAAUAGUGUCUGGCACGUGGCAGGCACUCAUUAGAUAUUUGUCAGCUGUCUGAACACUGAACAUUGUCUAACUGACCAGACUGUCCCCCUUGCAUUGGUUAUGAGAAAGCUUUCAGUGAAGCAUGCGGCUGAUCUUUAGCGAGGAUGCAGAUUUGCAGGGUAGGUAUCAGCUUUAUUCCUGGCUUUGUUUUUGCUUUUCUUUCCCAUGGAUUUCUAUUGUCCUUUCUAAGACAAGGGAGAGGCAUAUAUUAAUACAAAUAUAUGCACAGUGUCAGUUUUAUCAUUUACAUAUCAACAGUAUCACAACUUGUUAAAUUCUGGUUACGGGCUAAUAAGACAGAACAUUUCUUCAAGUGGAUAUUAGGUCCCAGGCAUAUGAAAAGUGCUUUUCAUGCAUGACUCUGUCAAAUCCUUAUGACAAUCCAAUGAUGUAGACAUUUUUGAUAUCUUCAUUUUUAGAGAUGAGAAAAGCAGGCUUAGAACGGAUUACAUAACUUGCUUACAGAGCCACAUUUGUAAAUGACUCCAGGUCAGUCUGAUAGCAAAUUGGGUCCAAGUUUUACACAUUUUGCUUCCCUGCUUUCACUGAUGUUUGUCUUUACAUCUCCCCUUCCUCUCCAGCAUAGUGUUAAAUGAUCGAUUUUUGGACUAUUCAAGCUUUUUAUAUCCAUUAACUCCAAUUAAUUGGAUGGACUUAUCUUCCUUGGUAAGUUGCACUAAAUAGGACAUAACAAAUACCUCCUCUUUGAAACAAUUAGUCAAGAGCUAAGAAAUAAAACAGAGCUUCUUUGACCCACUGAAUAUAUAUUCCCCCAAAAUAUUUAUUCACAUGGAGUUUACAUUUUUCUUCUCAGAAAACGACCAUUUUAUAACAACAGGGUGUAUUGCUCAAGUGGUCUGCAUGGAGCUGAGGUCUGCCACCAUGCUGUGUGUGGCACACACAGAGGGAGGAGGGCAGCCUGAUGGCUAGUGGGAUUCCCCACUGGUGGUCAGGCCCCAGCCAAGUUGCUGUCCCUGUCUGCAAAAUGAAAAGCUUGAACUGGAUGGCCUUAAGGGUGAUUUUCAGCUCGAAAAUCCCAAUAUCCUAACCCUCAAGCUUGGGUUAGAUCCAACUCCUCUGUGCUCUUCCUGUAACUAAGCAAUGAGCCCAGUCUAUGGUAAAUCCCCCACCCCUAAUCCUAGCCUGUGACAGAGGGAGACCAAGUGUCUCUGGGUCUCUGUCUGCCCCCAGCACCUUGAGCAGGGCCUGGCAUGUAGGAGUUGUUCAGUAGAUGUUUGUGAAAUGAAAAAAUGAAUGAAAACAAGCAUACAUGGUCUACUCCUCUAUUUCUUUCUCUUAGGUGACUUGGUUUAUCGUGUGAGCCAUUCUGGCAGAAGUUAGACUUCAUGUAACCCCAUAAUGAAUUCCUGUCUAGUAGAUCACUCUAAUAGGCAAAACAUAUCGCAGCUACCCUCUGCCGGCUUCAGAGACUGGGGUCACUAUCAAACUGGUCCCUGGCCCACCUGCUUAAAUGCUGUGGCUCCUAACCACUCUUUGUGACUUUGCUGCAGCUACAGAUAUCAAGAACUCCAGUGGGCCAUGGUACUUCUUGGUCCAUGGCCGAGGGAUUAUGCAAAAGCUACAUCCAUGCAGGAGAUUUCCUUCAUAUUUGGAUAGUUUCAAAGAUAAGAGCAUCUUAUAAUAAAGGGGAAAGAAACUUCAGAAUGUCACAGGCAAAGUCUUAGGAAGUGAAGAUAUAAAGCCAAAAUAGGAGUAAAAUGUUCGUACUUGCCAUGAAGUUAAUUAACAUUCUUACUUGGAAAAAGUCAAGGUCAAACAUAAUUCAUCAAACAUAAUUCAGAGUUACUUGGCUUUAACGGAAGUGAUUCCUCAAGUCUCCCUUCAGGUUUUAAGACUUAUUAUGGAAAGCAUAAUAAAGUGUCCUACGUUUAUACAUCUGCUGAACCAUGUUAUGAAAUCCAGUACACUGUAGGCCCUGGGAUGGGGCAAGGAGCCAUUGUCCCUCUUUGCAGGUGAGAAACUGCAUCUCUGAGGAGCCAGUCACUUAUCCAAAGUGCAUCCUGCUUGGUGUUUCUAGCUGUUACCGUCUUCUGGCUGAGGACCAAUGCAAAACCCCAGUGGUGCCUCUUGUCAAGGCUAGCUGGUGCUCAUGCAGGUAUGACUUAGGUUUUGCAAUGAUGAAGCCAAAGCGCCUUGGAAGCAUUUUCCCUGCCCCGCUAACUAACUUCAUGCCAACUAGUCUGAAGGGUUCUACUCCACAGUUUCCAACAGUGCUUCUUAAGAUUGGAAAACAAAUGUACGGUAGAUGUUACUGCUUAGCUAUUGUCCUUUUAGACCUGUGCACUUUUUAAACCUCAUUUCAGUCUCUCACAUUGCAAAGAAGCUAGGGCAGGGCAAACACAAUAUUAGCUGAGGGGUCAGUAGACUCGAGGCUCAGUCCCGGCUCUUCCACUUGUUGGCAUGGUCUUCACCCCUCCAGACUAGCCUUUGCAUAGGAGUAAGACCUGCCUAUCCUAGCCUUUGCAUGGGAGUAAGGCCUGCCCAUCUCACAGGGACGUAAAGAAAUGAAAUAGCAAGAAGGGUGCAUUACAAAUUGCCAAGCAUUAGAAGUGUCAAAUACUGGAGAGCAACAAACAAAAAGGGAAAGAAUCAGAAACAGAAAGAGAGCAGGUGUGUGUGGUGGGGGAGCACUGCCUUCAGAAUUAAAACUAUGUUACAAGUUGGCUUCAUGCAAAAGCUCAGAAGAAGCUGUGUCCAGUCUUCUGAGGACAAAAUGAGAAUAAAUAUCAAACACAUAUGCCUUUCCCUGUGUUUUUCCUCUUUAAAAUAUACGGGUAACAAAAUUGACCCAGCUCUUAGAACAGGAGAAAGGAAGAGAAACAGAGCAGUUCUAAGAAAAGAUGAAGCAAGCAAAAUACCCCUCAUGUGUGAGUUCAGAACACUUCAAAGAUUGGAAUACAUGACAUUUUGCAAUGGUUGCAAGUGGCAUUCCUUGCAAAGUCCUGUGAAGUGGGGCUUGCUGCCUCCCCACUGUAGGAAUGUAGGUUCACAGUCAUGAGGGCCAUAUAGCAUGCUCCGAUGCCAACCAGUGCCAACAGGGCAAAGAGGAGGUAGUUCACUCUCUUCCUCUCAAGCUCUCACUCCCACUCAUUUAGAUUCAUGCUACUUUCAUUUUCAUAGUGCUUUAAUGAAUGGGCCUCACUCUGGCUGGCUCACAAGGUCUUGCUAUUCAAAGGGCACCCACAUGAAAUAUAGUUUUACUGGUCAAAGAGAAAAAAAAUUGUUCCAAGUGUUGGAAAAGGUCCAAACUUUUAAUCUACAAAUCCCUGGAGGACUUGUCACUAACAGGGCCAGCUCCUGGUUUAGAUCCAUUCUUCCAGCAACUGGCCCACUCCACUCAGCCCAGCCCUUCCUCAAGGAGCUGCUGAGACUCCCCUAACUAAAUGGAGAUACUUGGAAUGUCUUCUGCUGGCCUUCCCUGAGGAGCUCACAACACAGCCCAGCUUCAUGACAGGCGGUCAUUCUAGAAAUAGUGGGUUAGAGUCUUUUGGGAGAUAGAAGUC
rnacentral:lncRNA from 1 species